rnacentral:rRNA from 1 species
GACAGAGGGGGCAAGCGUUGCUCGGAAUUACUGGGCGUAAAGGGCGCGUAGGCGGGAUGGCAAGUCGGUCGUGGAAUCCCUCGGCUCAACCGAGGAACGUCGAUCGAUACUGCUGUUCUUGAGGAUUGCAGAGGAGACUGGAAUUCCCGGUGUAGCGGUGAAAUGUGUAGAGAUCGGGAGGAACACCGGUGGCGAAGGCGGGUCUCUGGACAGUUCCUGACACUGAGGCACGAAGGCCAGGGGAGCAAACGGG